AAAAAAAAAAAAAAAAAAAAACAAAUUCUUUGUUGUUGACACAUGCAAAGGUAUUACAAGACAAAGCCAAAGAGCACUAUAACUUGGCAAAUUAAAAAGAAAAAAAUUUGAAAAGAAACAUACCUUAGACUGAACGCUGUGUCGGGAAGCGAUUAAGCCUACAGUGGAGAAUACGUGGACCAGAUCUUGAGGUUGAUGCAAAACCAAGUUGUUGCAAAUUUGCAAAUUGAAUGCAGAUAUAUCUUGGCGGAUGAUUAAAGAGCAUAUUUAUUUUUAUAAUAGUUCCAAGUUUGAUGUAAAAA
rnacentral:lncRNA from 1 species